rnacentral:rRNA from 1 species
CACACGACUCUCGGCAACGGAUAUCUCGGCUCUCGCAUCGAUGAAGAACGUAGCGAAAUGCGAUACCUUGUGUAAUUGCAGAAUCCCGCGAACCAUCGAGUCUUUGAACGCAAGUUGCGCCCGAGGCCACCCGGCCGAGGGCACGCCUGCCUGGGCGUCACGC